rnacentral:rRNA from 1 species
GACGAACGCUGGCGGCGUGCUUAACACAUGCAAGUCGAACGGAAAGGCCCUGCUUUUGUGGGGUGCUCGAGUGGCGAACGGGUGAGUAACACGUGAGUAACCUGCCCUUGACUUUGGGAUAACUUCAUGUAACUGGGGCUAAUACCGGAUAGGAGCUCCUGCAUCUUGGUGGGGGUUGGAAAGUUUCGGCGGUUGGUGAGGGACUCGUGGCUUAUGAGCUUGUUGGUGGGGUAGUGGCUUACCAAGGCUUUGACGGGUAGCCGGCCUGAGAGGGUGACCGGCCACAUUGGGACUGAGAGACGGCCCAGACUCCUACGGGAGGCAGCAGAGGAGAAUAUUGUAAAAUAGGCGGAAGCAUGAGGCAGCAUCGCCGCGUGCGGUAUGCCGGCCUUCGGGUUGUAAACCGCUUUCGCCUGUGACGAAGCGUGAGUGACGGUAAUGGGUAAAGAAGCACCGGCUAACUACGUG